rnacentral:tRNA from 1 species
AUUAUAUUGGCAGAGAUAAUGCAUUAGAAUUAGAAUCUAAUUAACUAUACAUCA